rnacentral:ncRNA from 1 species
ACGGAAGCCCGGUGAGGCCAAGGUCGAUCCGGAAGAGAAGGUUCGAUCUCCCGACCCGGGCCCCCAGCACGGUACCCGGCACCCACGCGGAGCCACAGCCGCGAAGAUGGCAGAAGUGUUGCGGGCCUGCGUAAUUGCGAAGAGCGGACGGCCAGGACGGCCCUUUGGGUGGGGCUAUGGUCGAGCGCAUCGCAAGAUCGCCGAGGCCACCCACGCAGCCCAGAAGUUGCACGCUUGGUAACCGCGGUCCGUGCUAGCGGGCGGCGAUCCGAACACCUCGGAUCGUCGCCCGCUUCGCAUG